rnacentral:rRNA from 1 species
UACAGAGGUCUCAAGCGUUGUUCGGAUUCAUUGGGCGUAAAGGGUGCGUAGGUGGCGCCGUAAGUCAGGUGUGAAAUUUCGGAGCUUAACUCCGAAACUGCAUUUGAUACUGCGGUGCUUGAGGACUGGAGAGGAGACUGGAAUUUACGGUGUAGCAGUGAAAUGCGUAGAGAUCGUAAGGAAGACCAGUGGCGAAGGCGGCUCACUGGCCCGGUACUGACGCU